rnacentral:rRNA from 1 species
UAUUGGUCAAUGGGCGAGAGCCUGAACCAGCCAAGUCGCGUGAGGGAGUACUGCCCUAUGGGNUGUAAACCUCUUUUGUCGGGGANNCCNNNCNGGACGUGUCCGUCUGUGAGAGUACCCGAAGAGAAAGNNNCNGNUAACUCCGUGCCAGCAGCCGCGGUAAUACGGAGGAUGCGAGCGUUAUCCGGAUUUAUUGGGUUUAAAGGGUGCGCAGGCGGAUUUUUAAGUCAGCGGUCAAAUCGUGGGGCUCAACCCCAUCCAGCCGUUGAAACUGGGGAUCUAGAGUGUGCGAGAGGUAUGCGGAAUGCGUGGUGUAGCGGUGAAAUGCAUAGAUAUCACGCAGAACCCCGAUUGCGAAGGCAGCAUACCGGUGCACAACUGACGCUCAGGCACGAAAGCGUGGGUAUCGAACAGG